rnacentral:tRNA from 1 species
GAGGGUAUAGCUCAGUGGCAGAGUGCUUGCUUAGCAUGCAGGAGGUCCUGGGUUCAAUCUACAGUACUUCCC